AAUUGUGGGAAGCAAGGAGACUCUGGAAUUAUUUCCCUUUCACCAUCCUCUUCUCUGAUAAUAUGCUUCAAUUCACCGCAUUCACUUAUCUCAAGUAUUUCUAGCUUUGGCAGACUUCGAGCGAGAGACGGUGUGAGGAUAAAUAUCAGUUUGUCGAGAGAAUUCAAAUACAGAUGAGCAAGACUUUGGAGGCUGAUAUGUCUGGUGGGCCCCUUCCAAAUGCAUUUGAGCUCAGGUAAACGUGACAGCCGUAACCCUGUUAAAGAUGACAGAAGCGGCAGCUCCUUCUCCUCCCUACUUCCUUCAUCAGGCUCACCUAAUUCAAAUACCUCUUCCAAUGAUUUGCAGCCGUUAAUGUUCACACUGCUUAGAUUUUUCACAGCUCGCAGCAAUUUUGCUGGAAACGGAGUGCGAACAUCCCCACAAUCGUCCACUGCUACAGAUUUUAAUCUUUGUAAGAAGCCGUUUUGCUGCACAUGGACGGCCAUCUUAUCAGAGAACAAUAUUAUAUUUUUUCACUCUCAUGAAAACAAUUUAUAUGAUGUAUAAAUAGGAGAAAAAAACAGGAUUAAAUACUUUUUAGAGAUUACAUAUUAUUGUUUUAGUUUUGUUCUUAAUUAGAGAUAAGUUGAAUAAUAAUUAGAUUUUUGUGAAAAAAAGGUUAAUACAACUCCUAAUAAUUAGUUUCAUGUAAAAACAAAAACAAAAAUAAAAAUAGUAACUAAUAUUUUUAUUUUAGUUAUAAAGUUAAUAAAUUUUUAAAGAUAUUUUAAUUGACUUCAAAAUUUUCAACACAAAAUUUAUGCUCUUAUAUAUUAAUAAUUUAUUUGUGAAGUUAUUUGAUGUACUUUUGUAUAAAAAACAUUUUUUAUUACGUGCAAAGUUGUUUUAGUGGACAAACUUGUCUAAUUUUUAUCCAGAUAGAUUACCUCCAAAGUAGUCAAUUUGCUCAGCAGAAGACCCCUCAAGUCAGGCACGGAUUCCAAGCUUAAUUCUUUCAAAUUUGUGAACCCCUGCAUCAAAAGAAAUUUUGUGCACUUUUGAACUAUAUAAUUUUGGUAAAUAGAUGAACGAAUUGUCCAUAUAAAACUUCAGCAAAAAAACUUAUCAACAAAAGGAUAGAAGUAGACAUGGCAACAAGGCAUGGGAAUAUGAAAUCAGAAGUUGCAGAUGGAGGUUUAUCUUCCUCUUCAAAUACUUCUAUUAAUUGGGGGAAGAGCCUCAAUAUCACUUAAACUGGGAAAGCAUAAAGAUUGAAAAAUCAAGGUAGGAUUUCAUUACAAUAAUUAAUUUCUUACUUCUUAAGCCCUGCAUCAAGAGACAAGGAAUGAUAAAGUUAGACAACUCCUUUUAAAUUUAGUGAAUGGCUAAAGGAUUUAUCUCCACUUAUCAAUUACUUCAGUUUCAGAAAUUUGGAGGAGAAAUCAACCUGUAUUGAAGUUGACAAUUUAAAUUAAGAAGAAAAAAAAAUUAUAGGAGAAAUAUAAAGGACGUACUUGGAGCUGUGCAAACAAAUUUCCCAAUUCUUUGUGGCCAUUGAUUUUUAGAAAUCGCAAAGAAGGCAAUUGGGCAGCAAGAUUCGUUGGACCAAAAAAGCUGUAAUUUGAUAUGGAAGAAAGAACCAAGUCACUUAAUCGAGGGAACUUGAUGAUGCCAUCUGUGGUGAGUGCGUCUCCUUCUCCACUGUAAAAUAUUUGCUUUAAAUUGUCAGCAUAAUAAAUCGUCAUCUGUUCCAGGUUCGGAAGGCUUGGAGACAUGGAGACAGGGAAGACAUAUUCCAGUUUACCACACCGUUCUAUGAAGAUAUUUUUUAAUUGUGGGAAGCAAGGAGACUCUGGAAUUAUUUCCCUUUCACCAUCCUCUUCUCUGAUAAUAUGCUUCAAUUCACCGCAUUCACUUAUCUCAAGUAUUUCUAGCUUUGGCAGACUUCGAGCGAGAGACGGUGUGAGGAUAAAUAUCAGUUUGUCGAGAGAAUUCAAAUACAGAUGAGCAAGACUUUGGAGGCUGAUAUGUCUGGUGGGCCCCUUCCAAAUGCAUUUGAGCUCAGGUAAACGUGACAG
rnacentral:lncRNA from 1 species